GAUGAACGCUGGCGGCGUGCCUAAUACAUGCAAGUCGAGCGAACGGACGAGAAGCUUGCUUCUCUGAUGUUAGCGGCGGACGGGUGAGUAACACGUGGAUAACCUACCUAUAAGACUGGGAUAACUUCGGGAAACCGUAGCUAAUACCGGAUAAUAUUUUGAACCGCAUGGUUCAAAAGUGAAAGACGGUCUUGCUGUCACUUAUAGAUGGAUCCGCGCUGCAUUAGCUAGUUGGUAAGGUAACGGCUUACCAAGGCAACGAUGCAUAGCCGACCUGAGAGGGUGAUCGGCCACACUGGAACUGAGACACGGUCCAGACUCCUACGGGAGGCAGCAGUAGGGAAUCUUCCGCAAUGGGCGAUAGCCUGACGGAGCAACGCCGCGUGAGUGAUGAAGGUCUUCGGAUCGUAAAACUCUGUUAUUAGUGAAGAACAUAUGUGUAAGUAACUGUGCACAUCUUGACGGUACCUAAUCAGAAAGCCACGGCUAACUACGUG
rnacentral:rRNA from 1 species